UGGGGAAUAUUGCACAAUGGGCGCAAGCCUGAUGCAGCCAUGCCGCGUGUAUGAAGAAGGCCUUCGGGUUGUAAAGUACUUUCAGCGGGGAGGAAGGCGAUAAGGUUAAUAACCUUGUCGAUUGACGUUACCCGCAGAAGAAGCACCGGCUAGCUCCGUGCCAGCAGCCGCGGUAAUACGGAGGGUGCAAGCGUUAAUCGGAAUUACUGGGCGUAAAGCGCACGCAGGCGGUCUGUCAAGUCGGAUGUGAAAUCCCCGGGCUCAACCUGGGAACUGCAUUCGAAACUGGCAGGCUAGAGUCUUGUAGAGGGGGGUAGAAUUCCAGGUGUAGCGGUGAAAUGCGUAGAGAUCUGGAGGAAUACCGGUGGCGAAGGCGGCCCCCUGGACAAAGACUGACGCUCAGGUGCGAAAGCGUGGGGAGCAAACA
rnacentral:rRNA from 1 species